CCAGACUCCUACGGGAGGCAGCAGUGGGGAAUAUUGCACAAUGGGGGGAACCCUGAUGCAGCGACGCCGCGUGGGUGAAGGAGCACCUCGGUGCGUAAAGCCCUAUCGGCAGGGAAGAAAAGCGAACAGGUUCGCCUGGACGGUACCUGACUAAGAAGCCCCGGCUAACUACGUGCCAGCAGCCGCGGUAAUACGUAGGGAGCGAGCGUUGUCCGGAAUUACUGGGUGUAAAGGGAGCGUAGGCGGGCUUGUAAGUUGAAUGUCUAAUCCACCGGCUCAACCGGUGAUCGCGUUCAAAACUGCAGGUCUUGAGUGGAGUAGAGGCAGGCGGAAUUCCUAGUGUAGCGGUGAAAUGCGUAGAUAUUAGGAGGAACACCAGUGGCGAAGGCGGCCUGCUGGGCUUUAACUGACGCUGAGGCUCGAAAGCGUGGGGAGCAAACAGGAUUAGAUACCCCCGUAC
rnacentral:rRNA from 1 species